CGGAAGGGGCGGCGGAGCACCGAUCUCAUGGAUGGGCUCCGAGGGGCUUGCGGGAGGGGGGCGCCAGUGUUCGGGGCCGUUUUGGCGGCUAUGCAGGAUUGGCAGGAGCUGCGAUGCUCACACUUGCCUCGCCGACCGCCAUUUCACAUCCAGCAGAGGAGGCGGGGGCAGCCGCUGAGACGGUUUUUCACAAGGAAAUGACCUCAUUCUUGAUGGCUGCUGCUAACUUAUGGUGAGAUGCUGGGUCCCUGCCCAAUACCACAUGGACAUCCAAUCAAUUUACCCAGGGACAAGUCCACUCAAGAGCAUCAUUUAGAAGAGGGAAAAGGCACUGGGGUUAUUUGUUUUUGGAGUAUGUGCUUAAGGAAAUCUAGAGUAUUCCCACGAGCAUUCUGCUGAGAUGAACAAUCAGAUGACCUCGUGUGAGAUUUGGAGGAGAGAAGGAAAUGGAGAGCAUGCGUCUGCCGCUUCUGUGGUUUCUGUCGGCUUUCUCCAUAUUUACGUGCUUGUAACUCUGGCAUGACCUUUGCUCCAGUCUCUACCAGAGGGCGGUGCCUGGAUUGAAGUGGAAAAGCCCUGUUUUCCAGCCAUGACCCAGGGAGCAAGCACUGACUCCUCAGGGGAACAGGAGACCUGCCAACUAGGACCCUGGGAGCCCCCAUGCUGGCAGUGCCCUGGGUCAUCUCAGGCUCAUCAGCAAAUCCUGGGGGGAGAGCGGGGCUGGAGGGCGAAGAAGCCCAGGAGAGUUCCUGGCUCAGAACCCCUCUCUGAGGCUCCCAAUACAGAGCCCAGGCCCCACACCCAGGGCCUCUGAGUAUUUUUGUUUAUUGUAUGUAAAAUACUAGUGUAUUUUUGUUUAAGUCUCACAGGUAAACAGGUUCUCUCAUACUUUGCCAAGGGAAAUGUGAUCUGUGCAAUUUGGCAAUAACUAUCAGAAUUUUAAAAGCUUAUGCCCUUUGACCUAGUAAUUUCACUUCUAAGAAUUUCCCCUGCAGAGAUAUGUAUAUCUUGUAUGAAAUGAAGAGGCUACGAAGACAGGCAACGCCGCAGUGUUUAUAAUAGCGAAGACCAGACACAACCCACAUGUCUAAAGGUUCUGAUUUUUAAAACUGUAGUAUAUCUGUACAAUGAGCACUCCACAUCCUUUAAGAAUGAGGAAGGGCUGUGUGAACUGAAAUGGAACUAUCUCUAAGAUUUAUUAAGUUAAAAAAAUUCAAGAGUAGCACAGUGUGUAGGGUAUGCCAUCAUUUGUAUGAUAUAAGGUCGUAUAUCUGCCAUCUCAAAUGAGGAACAGUGGUUGCCUCUGGGAAGGGAAUUGGAUGGCUAGGAAUGGGGUAGGAAAGAGGUUUGCUUUUCAGAACAUUUUAUACUAUUUAAGUUUUGUAACAAGUGCAUCUAUUUUGACUUAAAAGAUAAAAAAUGAAAAGGAAAGGCUCCACUAGUGAUUCUGAUGCUCACAAAGAUUAAGAACCAAUGCGAAUGAGGAACUCAUGACACCGCCCAGGAGACAGUGAACAUAUCUCUUCAAAUAUCAAAAACCUUUCAGCAGAGGGUGAGAACAUGUGCCUGGGGUAAGCAUGGGUGGGCAUGAGCUGGGUACAGAGGUGAUUCCCAGGGACAUACAACUACCUUGCCCUCCUGGGAUCAGGUCUUCCUCCCACCUUAGCCUCCCAUAUUGUUGGGACCACAGGCAUGCACCACCACACCUGGUUAAUUUUUUUUUUUUUUUUUUUUUUGUAGCGACAGAGUCUCGCCAUGUUGCCUAGGCUGGUCUCGAACUCCUGGGCUCAGGCAAUCCUUCUGCCUCGUCCUUCCAAAGUGCUGAGAUUACAGGCAUGAGCCACUGCACCCAGCCUGACAGUAGCUUUUAAUCUCUGGACUCUCAUCACCGUUUGGACUGUGAGCUGUGGUUCUAGCUCUUGGAUCUGAUGGGCAUCUUCCCUCAAAUAUGUCAGUUUCUCUCUCCAGGUCCCUUGCUUUGUCUUCCUUUUUGCCUCCUCGGGCCUGAUACCUUUCUCUGGGCUUCUCUACUCUGCCCCGAGCUGCCUAGUUUUGCGAAUAAUGUCACAUCCAGAUGUCAGCAGCCCUGAUGUCCAUGUGACAAUGCUCCCUUGCUGUCCAUGUGACAAUGCUCCCUUGGUGUCCCAGUGACAGAUUUUCCCAUGCUUCACCCUCUCUCUUUUUUAAUUUUUUUUUCUGUACACAGCUCUCAGUCAAGCCCCUUGAGCUGCCUCCAACUGUUUGCUCAUGUCUGUUCCCAGCAAUCUUUUCCUCUUUUAGCACAAUCUUCCUUAACUUACUAGUUUUUUGAAACAGAGCCUAUUAGUCUUCACAGCGCUACCUUUCUGAUCUCAGAGUUCACCAAAAAGCUUUUCCUCCCAUCAUGCCUGCCUCCCUUUCUUCAGGUCCGUUAGAGUCCACCGUGGCCUGUGUGGGAAGCAAGUCUCUCCCAGGGCACACAUGAACAGACUUCAUGCCCACAUCCACAGUGAACAGUGGCUUCUGCCUUCCAGAUGGGCUUACCCUAAAUCAACACAUAUUCCUAGGAUGUGGGAACAUAUGCAAUACUUAAAUGCACAGGCUCUGGGUUCAGACUCCCUAGGGUUAAAUUCUCCCUGUGCCGGCUAGCUGCAUGAUUAGAUUUGUGAUCUUGACAAAGUUACCUAACGUCUCUGGGCCUCACUUUUCUCAUCUGCAAAAUAGGGAAAAUAGCAACACUUCUCCAUAGGGGUGUGGUGAGGAUAAAGAGUAGAUGUAAAUAAAGUGUUGAAUGUAGAGCCUGGCACAUAUCAAGCUCUUAAAAAGCAAUGGCCAUUUUGUUAUUUUUACCGCAACGACAACUGCAGUUAUUAUCUGGCUUCAGAGCUCUCUUUUUAAAAACAGUAUUCCCUGGUUUUACACCCAGGUGCUAAUACUAUUCUAUGAAGCUAAUGUAUAGAGACCAUAUCUUUUUAACAAACGUGUAUAUAUGAGUCAUUUCCGGCACAUUUGAUACACAUCAUCUCGUUUGGUCCUUAAAACAAGCCUAGGCCAUAAGCAGGGUACGUGUUACCACUUUGCCAUUCCUGUUUUACAGAGGCUUAGACACAUUGAGAAGCUUUUCCAUAGUCACUUAACAAGUGAUGGGUGAAGCCAAAUCAAGCCUUUAGAUCUCCAAGCUCUUUCCAUUAAACCAUAUAAAUCACGGGUUGGCAAACUUUUUCUGCAAAGGGGACAGAUAGUAAAUAGUUUAAGCCUUAUGGGCCACAUGCUGUGUCUGUUUCAUAUUCUGCUCCUUUUUUAUUUUUAUUUUUUUUAAGAAAAGACACCCUUUAAACAUAUAAAAACCAUUCUGAGCAACAGGCUGGUGCUAAAAACAGGUCAUGGUAACCAUUGGCUCUAGGGUUGUAGUUUACUGUUGAUAUAGAUUGUACACUGAUAAGCCAAAAUACAAACCUAAUGAAACUGACAUACUUAAGGAACUUUACUCUUUGUUAGCAAUCAUUGUUAAUAUUUAUUGAAUGGUGACUACGUGGGAAAUGCUGUUCCAAGUGUGAUAGAUAUAUUAACUUACUUAAUCCUCACACCCACUCUAAUUUCCUAAGUACUAUUGUCAGACUCAUUUUACAGACAGGAAAAGCAAGGCAUAGAGAAGGUAAGUAACUUUUCCGAGGUCACAUGGCUAUUAAGUAGCAGAGCUGUGAUUCAAAUAUAAGCGGUUUGGCACCAGAUCCUGUGCACUUAACCGCUUGCAUCUCGGUUGGGAGCACUGACUGGUUCAGCUAUUGGGAGGGAAGAAAGGGGAUGGGGAAGCCACAUAACCCCUAGGAGAUUCUGUAAUAAAUAUGCUUCAGAGCCAUUCACCUUGAAGCUGAGGAGGCAUGGAAGCAGGCCACCUGUGUUCUGUACAGCAUCACCAGGCUGGAAAUCUGCCAUGGCUUUCCUUCACGCCAUCACAAGAGGAUACAGAUGAGGCUGCAGAGGCAUCUUGAUUUGAGAAAAGCAUUUGACUGGAUCUCAUUAAAUUUUAAUCAUUAACUGAAUUCAAAAUAAAUUGAAAACUGGUUGACAGAGCACCAACAAAGGGUGAUGAUAAAUGGUGAUGCAUCUAGAGGGGAGCUAUCUUCCAGGGGACAACUCUAAGGCAAGGACGGAUGGGAUUUAAUGAAGGUGUUAUGUCCCCAGAAGAAGACAAAUAGCACAGCAAGGAACAGAGGAAGGACAGGAGUGAGCAGCCUGAGUAAUUAAUAAACCAUAUUAACAGCUCCUCCAUAAUCAGGCCUUGGUGAUCACAACUGCUUGGAUUUUUUCUUAAGCUUUCUUUGAGUCAGGAAUAGGUUUGAAGCGUCCUAGAGACACACAGCAUGAAUAUUUCAGGUGGACAUUAAAAAGAAAUCUAUAAAUUUACAGCUGGGAGGAUCCUGAGAUCUACUUCGGAUCAGAAACUUUCAAUUACAAGAUUCCCAAGGCCUUACUUCAUUCCCCAGAGAGUAAUCUUUUUAAUAAAUGUCCAAAAGUCAUGGAUUUAAAAAAAAAUCUUUAAACUCAUUAAUGUCCUUUGUUUCCUGCCCAAAUGCAUGCAAACUUUCAUAACACUGGUUUGCUGAGUGGAAGGUUGGUUUUGAGUGAACUGUUUGGCUCAGAUUCAAACUCCAAUGAACAAAUACUUCCAAGUUUACUUGCUGAAUUUCCCAUACAGAGAAGUUCUUCCACUGGGCUUGCCAGAGGAUUUGAAACAGUGGUGAGCCCUGGAAGGAAGGGAAUAUUUACUGGCCCUUGGACAUAAACCCAGCACAGUAAGACUCACAUCAGGCUGAAGGCAGUGCAGUAUGAACCGACCUGAUUUGAGGAAGUUUGCUCUGGGACUCCUCUGAGCUACUAAAUGAGGAGGAGAAGGACUAAUGGGAACACACUGACUCCAUCACAUUAGAAGUUAUAAUAAACAUUUAGAGAACAACCUCAA
rnacentral:lncRNA from 1 species